GAUGAACGCUGGCGGCGUGCCUAAUACACGCAAGUCGAGCGAAUGGAUUAAGAGCUUGCUCUUAUGAAGUUAGCGGCGGACGGGUGAGUAACACGUGGGUAACCUGCCCAUAAGACUAGGAUAACUCCGGGAAACCGGGACUAAUACCGGAUAACAUUUUGAACCGCAUGGUUCGAAAUUGAAAGGCGGCUUCGGCUGUCACUUAUGGAUGGACCCGCGUCGCAUUAGCUAGUUGGUGGGGUAACGGCCCACCAAGGCAACGAUGCGUAGCCGACCUGAGAGGGUGAUCGGCCACACUGGGACUGAGACACGGCCCAGACUCCUACGGGAGGCAGCAGUAGGGAAUCUUCCGCAAUGGACGAAAGUCUGACGGAGCAACGCCGCGUGAGUGAUGAAGGCUUUCGGGUCGUAGAACUCUGUUGUUAGGGAAGAACAAGUGCUAGUUGAAUAAGCUGGCACCUUGACGGUACCUAACCAGAAAGCCACGGCUAACUACGUGCCAGCCGCCGCCGUAA
rnacentral:rRNA from 1 species